GUCAAAUUGACCGAGCGGGUAGUUCCAUCCAUCGAUCCCACAUGCAAGGGAAGCCAAGGUUAUCUGCUGUGAUCAUCCUCAAUUAGUUUGUUGCGUGAGCCUUGCAAAUUCCAAAUUCUUUAGUAUAAAGUCUCCCUUUUAAAUUUUUUUUUUUACCGCUACUAAUUAAGGUUUUGGAGUCUUCCUUUAACCUGUCAUUUUACGAUCUAUAUAGCUUUAGGAAAUUUCCCAUCCAAAUUAAUAAGUGUCUUUGCCAGAAUAUUCAUUACUCUUUCGGCAGUCAAUCUUGAUCAUGACCGUCGAAAAUCUGAGAAAGACUCAUCGAUCCCAUAGUCUUCAAUGUUGGUAUCACUCAAGUUCACUGACUGUAUCACUUCCUAUUGCAAUUUUGCAACUUCUGAUGGUGACAGCGGUGAGUGGAUUAUGGGGAGGUGAUCCCGGACACACGCAAUCACUCGGCUCCGCCGCAUUCAGUAGAGGCGACGUUCUGAUCACGAAAGACGGACAAAACCAGCUAUUGGCUGCAAUCAGCACUAAAGACUUUGUCAUGGCUAAAAAGAGCGGCAACGAAGUUGAAAUUUUCACCACGCAGCCUCAAAAUUCACGAACCCCGGUGCAGAAUAGUCCAGUUAAGGUGCAGCCCGGGUGGAACGGGGAUAAACGAGUAGCUUUAGCUAUGAAACUCUCCGGCAAAAUGUAUCCCUACAAUUCGAUAUCUUGCAACGAAAAGGACUACAUGAAGUACAUAGUGUAUGGUAAAACGAACCAGCCUCUGACGGGUAAUUCAGCUUGUCCGCUCAGAAGGGAUUUGUCAACGGUGAGCAUCGCAGAAAUCAAGUCGCCUGGUUUUUACUUGGAGAGCAAAAAUAAGCGCGUCAUAGUAGACCAACUCCCCAAGGCUUCGGCCGGGUGAUUUCACUACAACGAGUAUAGCAGUUAACAGUGUCACUGUGCAGUUUAGUUUUACUAUAUAAGAUAUGUUUGAUGCUCCGCAGCCCGUGACAAGAUAUACAAUAAUAACAAUUUAAACAGCGGGUAACGAGGCUAAUUUUCACAUAAAUACGAUAAAAACGUUUCGGCUGAAAACUCAGCCAUCCUCAGUUGGAUACAAACAGUAAACAAAUUUUAAAAAGCUAAAAAUUUAGUGUUUGGUUGUACCUGCUUUCAAAGCGCGAAAACAAAAAUCACAGCUGCGUACUAAGUUUUCAGAUUUUUUAAAAAAAAUGUACUGUUUUUAUCCAACUGAGGAAGGCUGGUUUUCAGCCGAAACGUUUUGGUGUUAUCUAUGUGAAAAUUUGCCCUACUACCAACUGUUUAAAUUGUUAUUAUUGUUUUUAAUACAGUUUCAUGGAGCCUCCACGGAGAAAAAAGAUUUGGGGGUUAAGUCCCGACUGGUGGAUGAUAUGGACAUUCCCAAUCAAUUGUGGUAGUAUCCUGAUGAAUUGGGUUACUAACCUAAAUAUUGCGGCACUACAAAAAUUAUUUGGAAAUGUCCAUAUCAUCCAACAAAUCGGGGUAGUACCACAAUUUUAGCGGAUAACCCCUUACACUUUUUUCUCCGUAUCCAAAAUCUGUGUCUCUUCUCGGUAGUACUUGUUUUUUCUUUUUCAGAAGACGAAGAGGAAAGAAAUUUUGUGUAACUAAAAAAUGUAAAAUGUACCACGGCAUGAAAUAGCUUAGUUUCGGAUUAUCCGCGAUUUUCAGUUAUCCGUGGCAGCUCUGGUCCCGACUAUACCGCGCAUAAUCGAGACUCUACCAUAGGUACCUCAUGGCAGCCAAAUAAUUUGGAUUUUGAUAACAAAAUACGUAACGCCAGGGAAAAAGGUUGAGUCUGUGUUUUGGUUGCGUUACGGGGGAAGGAAGAGAUGUAAGGCAGCGUUAAGGGGAAGUAAACAGUUCAGGGCCUCGUUAUGUAACAUUUAAAGCUAUAUUUAAAGCUGUAUUAUUUUCCACUUCUUUUCUAGAGGAAUUCUGUUUAUUUUGCCGCUUUAAAUUUUAUUUUAAUGUUUUACUGAAUAAAGUUUUCUCCUUUGUCUCAUGAUUUUCCCAUCCUCCCUUGAAUUGCAUCAUUAAACUAAUUUUGAACUAAUUAUUUUGACUAUAUGUAUUUACCUCGUUCAUGUUUGUUUCUGUUCAUUUUUUUCAAAAAUACAAAAAUUUAAAGAGGAAAAUUGCGAUUUAUCCUACAUGUUUUAAGGGGAGCGGGGUGAACGUAAAGAGAUGGGAGCGUUAUUAUUUUUCAGGGGUGAAGACCGGUGUCGCUGGUGCUUCAUGAAGGAGGAAGGCACGGGUGACAUAUUAUUAGCUUAAUAUUUACGUAUUAUUAGGGUAAUUUACGAACAGCGGCCGUGUGUCAUAUGGAUGUUACAUACGUACACAAUUUAAGGUCUUCUGUGAACUUUAUUUUUCUAGCGUUGGGUUUAUUUCAAACUCAUGACUCAAGCACUUUAAGUUAUCAACAUGCCGUUUAUUUUUAGAAAACAAAGUUGAUGUGUGCCUAAUCAAAGAUAUAGCAAGAACAUUUUAACUCCAUGCACGGAUUGAAAGUACGUUUGAACAUAAAAGAAAAAAACGACAGUAAUAAUUCAAUUUGGGUUUCAUAAAACUUCCUACUGAACAGUAAUUGCACCUCACAGUUUUCCACGAAAGCUCUUAUUCUUUUCUCUUCAAAUUUACUCUCAAUGCCUCUAUUUAAGUGACUUAACUUCGGAAAAAAAUCUCUCUGGCACCACAAUUUAGCGCUAAUAUAAGUUUAAAUCUUUUUCAGUAGAUCAGUUUUGGAUAUUUGUAUUAUUAUUCAUCUUUUACGAGACCAAUCACAUGGUCUAGUUCUGGAUGGUCAGAUGCUUAGUUUUUCCUACAAAUUGCAACGCCAGCAACCAUACUUACAUGUCCGCAUGAAGUAAUACUACAAUGCAGGGUUUUCAUAGCGAGAUUCUUUUCUUUAAGGUCUCAGACAAGUCUUGUAGCUAAUCGUUU
rnacentral:lncRNA from 1 species